rnacentral:lncRNA from 1 species
GAGAAGAGAGGGGCGUGGGCUCUCUUGUGCAUGGAUAAUUUUCAUGAGAAACCAUUUCUCGUGUGGAAGAAGUGGCACACAAGAUAAAAGGUGGGCGCAAAGAUUUGUUAUCCAUUCGAAUUCAAACAUCUUUUGAAUUUGAAUGGCCAACCAAUCUCAUCCUUAUCCAUUCAAAAUGAUGCACAAAGAGAGGGCAUGGGAUGG